GACGAACGCUGGCGGCGUGCUUAACACAUGCAAGUGGAGCGACGAACCGGGGGCUUGCCCCGGGGCAGAGCCGCGAACGGGUGAGUAACACGUGGGUAACCCACCCCGAUGACCGGGACAACCCGAGGAAACUCGGGCUAAUACCGGAUGUGCUCCUUGACCUCGAGGUCAAGGCGUAAAGAUAGCUUCGGCCCUCGCAUCGGGGACGGCCCGCGGCCCAUUAGCUUGUUGGUGGGGUAACGCCUACCAAGGCGACGAUGGUAGCUGGUCUGAGAGGACGAUCAGCCACACUGGGACUGAGACACGGCCCAGACUCCUACGGGA
rnacentral:rRNA from 1 species